CCCAGGUCAUGGGCACGGACUAGGCUGGAAAUUUGAACAAGGCAUGAGGACGAGUGGAUGGCAGCGUGGGCCAUGAGUUGAUGUCAGCGGGUCCAGUUCCUGGAAUGCUGGAGAUGCUCGGCGUGCAAGAGGAGCAGGGAGCGUGACGCAUCUCUUUGGGACGUUAGCCACAUGACCUUGGCUCGGCACGGCGAAUGGACGCGCUAAACCUUGAUCGGGAAGGUGAGUGGAGAAAAGGUGGAAAAUGGGCAUGGUUUUUGGUUUGGUAGCCUAUCGGUCCACCUCUGGGUGACUCCUGUUUUCAGGGGAUGAAGAAGAAUCUGUCAACAUCCUAGUUGGCCUCCGUGGUCCACACUGAGGAUGGAUUCUGACCCCUGAGAAUUAGAUCAAGGGGCAAAUACUGUGUGUUGGGGGGUGGUUGGCAGGGGGAAGCGGGGAGUUGUCCAGCGGUUGUCUGUCUGAUUUCAGUAGCAGAGCAGGUCAGUUGACUACUGUUCUGCUUCUGAGGGCGUUGCGUUGGAGGAAGUUUGGUUGGCGUGCCGGUGCCUGAUGGCACUUUAUUUCUGCACAUAAAGUGGAGCCUCAUGCCUGAAGCGACGUCCUGGCUAGCCGUUGUGUUCCUUGCUGAGGAUGGAACCUGCCUCCCAGUGUUCCCAAGCUAAGGAUCGCUCCGGCAGGACUUGUGGCGCAGCAGGAUGUGAAGCAGACGGGGGGAAGGUCCCACGGUCCCGAAAUAAGGAGGAUGGCUCAGAAAAACAGGGCAAAAUCAAUAAAACCAAAAAUCACGGGCCCUCUAGGCAUGAGAGAAGAGGGGAAAAAAAAAAAAAAAAAAGGAGAAAUUAAACGGUUGGUCAAAUAAAACUGUACGUGUAGGAUGUCA
rnacentral:lncRNA from 1 species